CCUACGGGAGGCUGCAGUGGGGAAUAUUGGACAAUGGGCGAAAGCCUGAUCCAGCCAUGCCGCGUGUGUGAAGAAGGCCUUCGGGUUGUAAAGCACUUUCAGUGGGGAAGAAAGCCUUGGGGCUAAUACCCUCGAGGAAGGACAUCACCCACAGAAGAAGCACCGGCUAACUCCGUGCCAGCAGCCGCGGUAAUACGGAGGGUGCGAGCGUUAAUCGGAAUUACUGGGCGUAAAGCGCGCGUAGGCGGUCUGAUAAGCCGGUUGUGAAAGCCCCGGGCUCAACCUGGGAACGGCAUCCGGAACUGUCAGGCUAGAGUGCAGGAGAGGAAGGUAGAAUUCCCGGUGUAGCGGUGAAAUGCGUAGAGAUCGGGAGGAAUACCAGUGGCGAAGGCGGCCUUCUGGACUGACACUGACGCUGAGGUGCGAAAGCGUGGGUAGCAAACAGGAUUAGAUACCCCGUAGUC
rnacentral:rRNA from 1 species